UUGAAACUUAAAAAAUUUGGCGGUAUUUUAAUUUAUUCAGAGGAACCUGUAAUUUAAUCGAUGAUCCACGAUGAACCUCACUUAAUUUUGUUUUUCAGUUUGUAUACCGCCGUUAUUUGAAAAUUUUAUAAGAAUAUUAAUUUUCAUAAUUUUUUAUAAAAAAAUAAAUCAGGUCAAGGUGCAGCUUAUAAUUAAGUUUUAUAUGGGUUACAAUAAAAUUAUUUAUGUUGGAUUAUUAUAUGAAAAAUAAUUUGAAAUUGGAUUUGAGAGUAAAUUUUAAUAGAUAAUAAAAUUGAUUUUAAUACUAAAAUAUGUACACAUCGCCCGUCGCUCUUGUUAAUAAUAUAAGAUAAGUCGUAACAAAGUAGAUGUACUGGAAAGUGUAUCUAGAAUGACAAUUUAAAGCUUUAUUAGUAAAGUAUUUCAUUUACAUUGAAAGGAUUAUUGUGCAAAUCAAUAUAAAUUGAUAAUAAAUAAUUAUUAAAUAUUUUAUUG
rnacentral:rRNA from 1 species